CCUAUUCUUGCUAAGCUUGCCCGAGAUGUGUUGUCGGUACCCGUUUCUACGGUUGCAUCCGAGUCCGCUUUUAGCACCGGGGGAAGGGUGCUCGAUCCUUUUAGAAGUUCUUUGAAUCCUACUAUGGUGGAGAGCCUCAUUUGUGCCCAAGAUUGGUUGAGGAUGGGAAAGGAUCCUAUUAAAGUUGAAGAAGAUUUGGAGUCUAUUCGAAAGCACGAAGAAGCUUUGAAGAUCCUUGGAGUUGGAGUUGUCAUAAAUGAAGAAUCAAAUCAAGCCGUGUAGACUAGAGUGAAGAUUGGAAAAAUGAAUGUUGGAACUUGGAAGUUUGAAUGUUGGAUUUCAUUUUAUUUUAUUUUGUAACUUUAUAUGUUGGAUUUUGAAUGUUGGAAGUUUGGAACUUGGAUUUGGAAUGUUGGAUUUGGAUUUUUAAUUUUAGAUCA